rnacentral:rRNA from 1 species
GACGAACGCUGGCGGCGUGCUUAACACAUGCAAGUCGAGCGGUAAGGCCCUUCGGGGUACACGAGCGGCGAACGGGUGAGUAACACGUGGGUGACCUGCCUUUAGCUCUGGGAUAAGCCUGGGAAACUGGGUCUAAUACCGGAUAUGACUCCACGGCGCAUGUUGUGGGGUGGAAAGCCUUGUGCGGCUGGAGAUGGGCCCGCGGCCUAUCAGCUUGUUGGUGGGGUGANGGCCUACCAAGGCGACGACGGGUAGCCGGCCUGAGAGGGCGACCGGCCACACUGGGACUGAGACACGGCCCAGACUCCUACGGGAGGCAGCAGUGGGGAAUCUUGCGCAAUGGGCGAAAGCCUGACGCAGCGACGCCGCGUGAGGGAUGACGGCC